AGUCUGCGGAGCACAGUACUCAAGCCCAUGGCUUCGGCAUAUUCUGAGCCCCAGCUUCCAGCUGCAGGAAGAGAACAGACACGGAAAGAUGACCAAAGCAGACCCCCGGUUGCCUCCGCGAGAUUUCACUCUCUGCCCUUACAAAGAGGAGAAAGCUGUAGUCUUAUCCUUCUCCCUGCAGCCACAAUGUGACUUCCUAGGAAAAGCCAAAAGGACGAUUCUUUUAUAAUUAUGAAGAGGAAGUUAGACAGCUUCUGAAAGUAAAUGCCCAUAUUCCAUUUUCUAGCAGGCUGCUGUGGCUUGUCUUCUGUCUGGGAACUGGAUAAAAACAUCAACGAAUACUCCAAAGAGCCUAACACAGUAACAGAAGAGCUUCCCAGGUGGUGUCAGUGGUAAAGAACCCGCCUGCCAAUGCAGGAGAAGUCAGAGACGCGGGUUCAACCCCCAUGUUGGGAAGAUCCCCUGGAGAAGGGCAUGGCAACUCAUUCCAGUAUUCUUGCCUGGAAAAAUCCCAUGGACAGAGGAGCCUGGCCAGCUAUGGUCCAUAGGAUCCCACAGAGUCUGACAAGACUAAAGUGACUUAGCACACACGAACAAUAAUAGAAAAAUUAUAUUUGAUCAGUAAAUAUUGAAUGAAUGAAUGAAUAUGUUUCACCUUGAAUUGAAAAUGUUUGUCCACAAAUUAUUUGGACUAGCUAGAUAAUAAAUCGAUGUCUUCCACAGUCAGUCCUAAUGUUAAAUAAAAGCCUUUGGUAUC